rnacentral:rRNA from 1 species
GACGAACGCUGGCGGCGUGCCUAAUACAUGCAAGUCGAACGCACUCUCGUUUAGAUUGAAGGAGCUUGCUCCUGAUUGAUAAACAUUUGAGUGAGUGGCGGACGGGUGAGUAACACGUGGGUAACCUGCCCUAAAGUGGGGGAUAACAUUUGGAAACAGAUGCUAAUACCGCAUAAAACCUAAACACCGCAUGGUGUAGGGUUGAAAGAUGGUUUCGGCUAUCACUUUAGGAUGGACCCGCGGUGCAUUAGUUAGUUGGUGAGGUAAAGGCUCACCAAGACCGUGAUGCAUAGCCGACCUGAGAGGGUAAUCGGCCACACUGGGACUGAGACACGGCCCAGUCUCCUACGGGAGGCAGCAGUAGGGAAUCUUCCACAAUGGACGAAAGUCUGAUGGAGCAACGCCGCGUGAGUGAAGAAGGUUUUCGGAUCGUAAAACUCUAGUUGUUGGAGAAGAAUGUAUCUGAUAGUAACUGAUCAGGUAGUGACGGUAUCCAACCAGAAAGCCACGG